rnacentral:lncRNA from 1 species
UUUUUUUUUGGUAUUUCUGUUUGCUCCAUAAACUGCCAGUGUUGCUUGUCUAUUAUAGGACUCUCCCAUUUGUUUACAUGGAAAAAUACCUUUCCAUUAUCUUGACAGAGCAGUUUCUGAGUACAAAGUCUAGAUUUCUAUCUUCUAGGUGAUUAAUGUUAUGAUUAGAUGUAAUGUUCUGAAUUUUGACAUCCUUUUAGAACUUUUGCUCCCUGAUGUUUGCCCUUUCUAUCCAGCCUUAUGAAUAAUAAUUGUCAAAACCCGUGUCUUGGUCAAUUGCUUUUUGUCCCUUCUUGUCCCUUCCCCAAGCCAGGUUUGAAUUGAGAAUAUUAUAGAUGUCAAACACUCUGACAGAGUAAUGAGUACAUGUUUACAACAACUCUAUAAUCCAGUACCAGCAUAGCCAAAGAAUUUCAUUUUGGUCAGAAUCUGGAAAAUUUCUUAGGAUGAAUGACAUUGUUUGUGCAUUGCCUAAACUUUUACCAAUGUGGAUAUGAACAGUUUGGGAUCUUUAAAUAAGCAGUGAGCAUUAUUCUUGAAUAAUGUUCUGAUUUGCACCUGUCCUACCAAGAUAAAUAAGAGUAAACAAGAGAUUCUGCUUUUAGUAGGCAAUUAUAAGGAUAUUUUAAGAUUUCACUGGAGUUGUUUCAUUCUUUACUUGGACUUGAGGUCUAUGUAAACUUAAAAAUUUUUAACAUCUCUUUGGAACCAAAGGCUAAUUUGCCAUCGUCACUACAACCAAAAACUAGUGUGUGUGUGUGUGUGUAUUUUUUGUUUUGUUUUGUACUGGGGAUUGAACCCGGGGGUUCUAUCGCUGACCUACAUCCCCAGCCCUUUUUAUUUUAAAGACAGUUUUUACUACCAUCCUGGCUGCUUUUUGAUAUUUUUAAAAUUGCUUUGAUACAAAAUUAUUUUGCUUAUUCUAAAUGUGAGAGUCUAAGUGAAGCAUUUUCUUGUUACUUAUUGAUAAAUAUAUAAACUCUAUCUAAAUGGUUAUCAUUUCAUUGAACUAUAGACUGUGCAUACAAUUUGGAUAGUUAAAACUCUUAUAACCUGAUUUUUAAAAUUUGUUACAACAGAAGGGUAGAGUCUGUCAAUGCAGGAAUAGACAUAUGUGCAAGGAAAACAAUGCAGGGAAUAAUCACUGAAGAGACUGACCUAUAAAGGGAGACAAGGAAGGGACCCAAUUGAACAGAAUCCAAUUCCUGGUAAACUCCACACAAUAGUGGAUUAGGAUUAGGUAGCACACCUCUGAGAGCAAGGUCAGAACUGGUUUCUGUUUUCAGAAGGGAAUAGUCAGAUUCACCAAAGCUGAAAGAGCUGGUUUGAACUAUUCUAGAGCACUGUCUUCCCUCUAAACUAUGUGACUCCAGUAUUCUAUGUGAUUCUGAUAUAGUAAUAAGAUUGACAUGUCUAAUUGAUCUUUUUAAAGUAGAACAAAAAGAAAAGGAGGGUUUUGUUUGUUUGUUUGUUUGUACUGGGAAUUGAACCUAUGGAUGCUUAACUACUGAGCCACAUCCCCAGCCCUUUUUUUGAGAGGGUUUCUCAAAAAAGAAAAGAAAAAAAAAAAAAGUUGCUUAGGGCCUCACUAAGUUGCUGAGGCUGGCUUUAAACUUGCAGUCUUCCUGCUUCAGGCUGCUGACUUGCUGGGAUUACAGAUGUGUCCCAUUAUGCCUGGCAAGGUGUUUUUGAUUGACAGUUGGCUUAGCUUUUAAAUGAUAGAGACAUUGAUUAUAAAAAUUUAUUGUUAGAUUUAUAAUAUGGUAAACAGUGAACUUUAAAAAUGUAUGGAAUUGUUGUGCAUUAUUAGACUUAUAAUAUUAAUGGCUACAUUUUAAUAAGAAAAAUAAUUCUGUGCAGGGGUAUUCUCUUAGUAAUUUGUUAUUGAAGAACACACUGUCAACUGGGUGGGUGGCACAUCUAGUAAUCCCAGGUUAGGAGGCUUUGGCAGGAGGAUCUCAAAUUUAAGGCGAGCCUUGAAAACUUAGACCCUGUCUCAAAAAUACAAAGGACUAGGGAUAUGGCUCAGUGGUAAAAUACUCCAAGAUUCAAUCCUCCAUACCAAAUAAGAAAACUACCAUAUUGUCAGGCUUAGCCCUGAUCUUAAAAGUAAGAAAAGGGAUGAAGUGCAUUUCUUGGGAACUUAAAUUCAGUCUCCAAGUUACAGUGAUAAACUCACGUUCUGUGACCCUUCUUAAUGAAUUGUUUUCCUCUAUGUGUUGUUAGAGUUGGACUGUGGGUUCUCUUUACCUUAAUGUAGACAUUACCUUGUAUAUUUGAGGACCUACCCAGGAGUCAGGGACCCUGGGCCAGGUACUGGUACUAUGGUACUCAAUAAAUAACACACUGGGGGGCUGGGAAUGUGGCUCAAGCAGUAGCGCGCUCCUGGCAUAUGUGCGGCCUGGGUUCGAUCCUCAGCACCACAUACAAACAAAGAUGUUGUGUCCGCCGAAAACUAAAAAAAUAAAUAAAUAAUAAAAUUCUCUCUCAAUCAAUCAAUCACUAACUGGGACCCUUAGGGGAUGUGCUUUGUAGAAGAGUGUUGAGUUGAAGCUUGACUGAGAGUUGAGCAGGAGCCAGUGAUACCCCUGGUUUAUUCAAAGGAAGAUUCCACAGGGAAAUGGUAAAAAUCCAGUUGAUAGGAAUUAGAUUUUGCUCAAUUUUUCUGUUCUUUAGUGGGCCCCCCCCCUUGUUUUUUAUUCUAGUGAUGCCUUAUUUAAAACUGGGCUUAAAAACUGAAAAAAAGGAUGAAAUGGGAACUAGAACACUUAAGCUUUGAACUAAUUUGCCCCCCACCCCUUUUUGGUGGUGGUGGGGAGAGAAGGUAACCAGGGAUUGAACCUAGUGGCACUUAAACACUAAGCCACACAUCCCUAUCCCUUUUUAUUUGUUUUGAGACAGGGUCUUGCUGAGUUGCUUAGGGCCUCACUAAAUUGCUGAGGCUGGCUUUGAACUUGGGAUCUUCCUGCUUUAGCCUCCCUAGCUGUUAAGAUUACAGGUUUGUGCCACCACACCCCUCCCCCACUUUUGCAGAAAGAUUUUAGAUUGCCAUGAAUUACAAUAAUAAAAGGUAGAUGGAAUAGGACAAAAUAACAAACCAGCUGGUUUGUUGUUAUAGCCUAUAUAUCUGUAGAUGGACACAAUACCUUUUUAUUUUACUUAUAUGGUGCUAAGGAUCGAACCCAGGGCCUCAGACAUGAGAGAGGAGUGCCGUAACGCUCAGCCCCAGCCACCCAGCCCAAUUUUCAAGGUUAAAAAAAGAAAAUAAGUAACUUAGAAAUGGAGAAUUUAGAUGUAGGAGUGAGGAAGAUUUAUUUUUAUAAAUAUUUUUAUCCUAAUAAACAAUUUUUAAUUUGCAACUCAGUUUUAAAGGAAACAUGUUAAGUAUUGUUAAGAAAGUAAACAUUACACUAAACAUUCUUCAGUGUGUAUGUCUUUAUUUUUUUUUAAACUUUGUGUAAAAUAGAAGAAUAUUGAAUUAUGAAGACUGAAUCACGAAGAACACCACCAAAUGUCUUUUUAAAAUUAGAGAUGCUGUUUGUAAGUCUGUGCUAGAAUGGGUUUUUACCUUAAGUUUUAAUGAACUUAUUUGGGGAAUUCUCUCUUCCUUAUCCAAUACCCCAUCCCUCAAAUGAGAUACCUGGAAUCAAAUAGCUCUUGCCUUUUCAAUGCAAAUCAAUUGGAAAAUUAUGAUUUGAGUCCUGAUGUUGCCAUGGCUUCUGUUUCUCAGAAAUGUGUAUGUGAAAAUACCAAAAUGGGCUACCUUUGCAACUUUUGUAUGCAAAUCAAGACAAUAUCAAUUUAACAGGUGAAUGAACUCCAUCUUGUCUAUUCUCCAAAAAAAGUAUACUGUCUUUUCCCCCUUUAAUUAUAUUAAGACUGAUGACUUUUAGGAAUAUGUUUAUACUACAUAUUUUUAAUUGAAGUGAGUGCCUUGAUGUUAUUCCUCAUAAGUCAUUGUUUAAUCCCCUUAUGGGACAAGGAUGAGUCAAUAAUGUAUUAUAGCCUAUUGGAAAGGAGGGGAGUUGGUUAAUAGAAAGGUCUUUUUCUGCUGGAAGGAUGUUUGCCUUUUUUUUUUUUUAAUGUAAGAUUAUGUGUAUUGAGGUCCAGAGGUGUUAUUUCUUUUGUAUACUAAUAAAUUG